UGGGAAGAGCCCCCACGAGCUUCGUGCGGGAUUCUAGGCUCCCCUGUGACAGCCGCGGCAGGAAGCAGGCGGGCGCUCGCCGGCCACAGGCCUGCUGUUUUUCGGAAGGGAGAAAGCUGGACAUUUUCCCACGUAACUCCCAGCUCUGGGCCUAGAGUGUGCAUGGCGAAGUCCCCGGAGAACUCUACCCUGGAGGAGAUUCUGGGGCAGUAUCAACGGAGUCUCCGGGAACGUGCCAGUAGAAGCAUUCACCAACUGAAAUGUGCCCUGAAAGAAGGUGAUGUCACUAUUGGAGAAGAUGCACCAAAUCUUUCUUUUAGCACCAGUGUGGGAAAUGAGGAUGCCAGGACAGCCUGGCCCGAAUUACAACAGAGCCAUGCUGUUAAUCAGCUCAAAGAUUUGUUGCGCCGACAAGCAGAUAAGGAAAGUGAAGUAUCUCCAUCAAGAAGAAAAAUGUCCCCUUUGAGGUCAUUGGAACAUGAGGAAGCCAAUAUGCCUACUAUGCACAACCUUGUUCCUAUUAUUAAUGACCAGUCUCAAUAUAUUCAUCAUUUAGAGGCAGAAGUUAAGUUCUGCAAGGAGGAACUCUCUGGAUUGAAAAAUAAAAUACAAGCAGUUGUGCUUGAAAAGGAAAGCCUCCAGCAAGAGCUGAAAUCUCAAAGACAGGAGGAGAUACUAAGGGAACAAACACUUCUGGAUGCAUCUGGAAACAUGCAGAAUUCUUGGAUUACAACAGGUGAAGAUUCUGGGGUGGGUGAAACUGCCAAAAGACCAUUUUCCCAUGACAAUGCAGAUACUGGCAAAGCUGCAUCUGCUGGUGAGCAGCUAGAACUGGAGAAGCUAAAACUUACUUAUGAGGAAAAGUGUGAAAUUCAGGAAUCCCAACUGAAGUUUUUGAGGAAAGACUUAGCUGAAUAUCAGAAAACUUGUGAAGAUCUUAAAGAGCAACUAAAGCAUAAAGAGUUUCUUCUGGCUGCUACUACUUCUAACCGAGUUGCUGGUCUUUGUUUGAAGUGUGCUCAGCACGAAGCUGUUCUUUCCCAGAGCCAUAGUAACAUUCAUAUGCAGACCAUCGAAAGACUGAUUAAAGAAAGAGAUGACUUGAUGUCUGCACUAGUUUCCGUAAGGAGCAGCUUGGCAGAUACGCAGCAAAGAGAAGCAAGUGCUUAUGAACAGGUGAAACAAGUUUUGCAAGUAUCUGAGGAAGCCAAUUUUGAAAAAACCAAGGCUUUAAUCCAGUGUGACCAGUUGAGGAAGGAGCUGGAGAGGCAGGCGGAGCGACUUGAAAAAGAACUUGCAUCUCAGCAAGAGAAAAGGGCCAUUGAGAAAGACAUGAUGAAAAAGGAAAUAACGAAAGAAAGGGAGUCCAUGGGAUCAAAGAUGUUGAUCUUGUCUCAGAAUAUUGCCCAACUGGAGGCCCAGGUGGAAAAGGUUACAAAGGAAAAGAUUUCAGCUAUUAAUCAACUAGAGGAAAUUCAAAGCCAGCUUGCUUCUCGGGAAAUGGAUGUCACAAAGGUGUGUGGAGAAAUGCGCUAUCAGCUGAAUAAAGCCAACAUGGAGAAGGAUGAGGCAGAAAAGGAGCACAGAGAGUUCAGAGCAAAAAAUAACAGGGAUCUUGAAAUUAAAGAUCAGGAAAUAGAGAAAUUGAGAAUAGAACUGGGUGAAAGCAAACAACACUUGGAACAGGAGCAGCAGAAGGCAGCCCGGGCCAGAGAGGAGUGCCUGAGACUAACAGAACUGCUGGGCGAAUCCGAGCACCAACUGCACCUCACCAGACAAGAAAAAGAUAGCAUUCAGCAGAGCUUUAGCAAGGAAGCAAAGGCCCAAGCCCUUCAGGCCCAGCAAAGAGAGCGGGAGCUGACACAGAAGAUACAGCAAAUGGAGGCCCAGCAUGACAAAACUGAAAAUGAACAGUAUUUGUUGCUGACCUCCCAGAAUACAUUUUUGACAAAGUUAAAGGAAGAAUGCUGUACAUUAGCCAAGAAACUGGAACAAAUCUCUCAAAAAACCAGAUCUGAAAUAGCUCAACUCAGUCAAGAAAAAAGGUAUACAUAUGAUAAAUUGGGAAAGUUACAGAAAAGAAAUGAAGAAUUGGAGGAACAAUGUGUCCAGCAUGGGAGAGUACAUGAGAUAAUGAAGCAAAGGGGAAAGAACUUGGGACGUGAGCAUGGAGUUAAUGAAGCUUUCACCCAUCUCCUCCUCUCAACCGUCAUCCCGGUUUAAUCCUCUCCUUCUGCCAAAGUCCAGAGGCCCUGCGAGCCCCCGCGGAGUCGCCUGAGCCAGAUGCUCCGCACCCAGCCUCCCCAAGUCCCGGCCGGCUGUCCUCCAGUGGCACACAACUGGGCAGGCUCCAUCUCGUCUGCUGCUGGAGCCCACUAGAAACGAAAUGAGCCCUCCAGCAGGCCUAAUCACUCUGAUCUGUCAUGGACCUUCUAGCUGGAAGAGUUAUGCCAUCAUAUUAUCCCAACACUCAUCACUGUGUGGAGGACCCCCUUUUACUAAAUGAUUUAUUGCUCUUUGCAGAAUUCCUUUGGCUGCAGAUUUUAUUUCUGAGUCACUGUUCAGCUCAAUUGGUCGCCUUCAGUUACCGUGGCAACCAGCAGAUGGGGUUCUUUGACAAGGGUCAGCGGGGAGGCUGCCUUGGUUUAGACAGAAGAGGAGCUAAAUAAAAAGCUUUCAGCAUUGACAGUUCUGUAGUGGAUGGCCAGGAGUUGUUAUCAAAUUACUUGCAUUAAAACCUAAUUAAGAUGUCUGCCAGUAAGUGAGCUGUAGUGAUUGAAUCUGGUUACUUAGCUGCCGUGGGCCCAAUCUUAUUCCAUCACACCUCUGUGGCUGGUUUGACUAUCCCAAAAAUGGUCAAAUAUGAAGGAAAUUGAGGAAGACCUCACCAUAGGGUGGAACGUGAUAUACUCUGGGACCACAACAGGAGGGUUUUAGUCUCUGGGAGCACCAGGAAGACCCCAUUCAAACAGAAACUUCCUGAAAACACAGCAGUGUGCCCCCCAAACCCGAGAUGGCAAUUGAACAGGACCUCCAUGCGUCUGAUAGUUCCAUGUCUUCCGUUAAGACUAUUGGUAAUUUAAUUGCAAAUAGCAUUCAACAAAAUAAAACCGGCCUGUAAUCACUCUGGGUUAAAGAAGUCUAAAUAGAGACAUGCCAACUGAGUAUGAAGGAUCUUUUCUGGAGUGGGAAGAAAGGAACAUUAUUGGGCCAGUCAGCAAGAUUAGAAUCCAAUUCAGUAGGUUAGAUGAAGCUAUUAGAUCAAUAUAAAAUUGACCGCAGUUGUUAAUAUACUGUGGUUCUAUAAGAGAAU